rnacentral:lncRNA from 1 species
AAAAAAAAAUACUCCUAAAAACCUAGGGACUCUAAGGAGCUAACGAUUAGCCGUUGGAACCAAACGACAACCCCCAUUGAAGUCCAUCGACUUUUUCAUUCCAACAGCAGUUAUCUCCGUCAACCUUGCGCCGAAAAUUCCUCAAUAUCGCCGGAAAUUCGACCACUGUUAACACACGCACACACUCACGUUUCUCGGACAGAAAAUAAGAAAAACGCACACACAAGAAUUCUGCUUCCUUUCAAUUUCGAUUUUGGUGUUCCAAAAAUGGAGAUUCAGUUGAGGUUUGAAGUCUGGUUCUGAGGUCUUCACUGUCUAUCGAGGUCCGGUGCGUCGAGGUCAUAUGACAAGGAAGAAGAUCGAUCUUUAGAUCUGCUCUACCCAAGUAACUCUCGUUUUUUACUAUUCCUAUACUAUGUUAAUGAUCUCCUUACCAUCGAAUUGUAAUGUAAAUUUCGUUAAUUAGUUUCUGUAUUGGUUUUUGCAAAUGGAGUUCGAUCUGUGCGUCUUUUCUUUUUCUUGUUGUAUGACUAGUUAAUCUCGAAUCUGCUGUCCUGUGCUUCCUCUUCUAUUCCUUACUAUGUUCUUAUUCGCUAUUUUGUGUAAAUCCGACCGUUAAAAGUUGACUUAUUUCAUAGUUUUUUAUGAUUGACUUAUUCGUAUCUGGGUGUCGAUUUCGAUCUGCAUUUUUCUGCCUAUUCUUGUAUUGAGUUGCAGCACAAUGCAUUCUUGUUUUUAACUUCACGAAUGUUAUGGAGAAUCUAAUGAACUUGGGUACAAACUUGUUAAUGUGAUGUAGAAGGUACUCCUCGUCUUCUACUUGAAAUUUAGUGAACACCAUGUGUCCUCAUAUUUAACUUCAUGCACGUUAGGGAGAAUCUGAUGAACUUGUUUACCAAGUAAAGUUGGUUUUCUAUUCGAAAUAGAACGAGGCUCAAGAUUUGGCAUAAUAAGUAUUUGCUAGGACUUGUGCUCAAGAAGAGAAACUCAACGUAUCUGUAUCGCCUAAUUCCGAGCCUAAUGAUUAGGGAAUGCUGCCUAUGCAAACUAUGAAUAGUUCUGAUGGUUGGGAUUCUUAUUCUUGGGGUUUUCUUGGUUGAGGCUAAUGAAAUUGAUGCUGUGAUUUUACAAAAAAUGAAGUUCUGUGUUGGUUUGGAAGUAUUUCUAUCAUUGUGGCUAUGGGUACGGUUCUUGUGGCAUGGUCGCGAUACAUAAUUCCAAAUUCGGGUGUGCAUUUCAUGUGACCCAAUUCUAAUUUUCAACGAGGUUGAAUAGAACUUGUCAUGACUCACGGGUACAUUUCAUGUAGCGUGGCUCACGACGUGUUUUAAACAACCUUGAAAUAAUUCCUUAAAUAAAUAAAAGCGAUUUUAAAGUUAAAAAUUCAUAUAGGUUUAAAAGUAUUUAAAAUCGGAUAUAGGCCAAUAAUUAUAGUUGAGCGACCGUGCUAGAACCAAGGAACACGGGAAUGCCUAACACCUUCUCUUGAGUUAACAGAAUUCCUUACCUGGAUUUUUGCGUUCGCGGACUAUAAAACAGAGUCAAUCUUUCCUCGAUUCGGGAUUUGAACCGGUGACUUAGGACACCAUAAUUAUCCCAAGUGGCGACUCUGAUUUUAAAUAAAUAGUCCUGUUUCGAUUGUCACUUAAAUUGGAAACAACUCCCUUAUAUACCCCUCGGGGUGUAAAAAGGAGGUGUGACAGUGGGAACUAAGAUAAGCUAAGUAUGCAUGCAACAAGGGGGAAGAAAGAUCAGGAAGGGUAAUAACUUACGUUAAAAUAAAGAUGAGAAGGAACGAAAGGAAUUAUUUGAUCAAUGAUCUCAAGUUUGUGACAUUAUGAAUGCACUUAAGAGUUUGAAUUUGUAUACAUGCAGCAUAUAUGUUGAUAAUCAUACAGCCGUAAAAGAUUCCGAUAUAAUUUAAAAGAAAGAAUUGAGCCCAGGUCAUAGACAAAGGAAUGAAUUGUUAAAAGAUUGUAUCAUGGAUAUUCCAUAGUGUCCAUGGAGGGCUAAAGUAAUAACUAAUACCAUGAGUCGCAGAUUGGAAAAUAACUUAAGCCUGCAUAAAGGCCGAUAAGAAGAAGAAGGAAACUAAAGAGUUUCAUCAACAAAGUAAAUAAGGAAUCUAAUUAUUGGACCCAGAAGUUAUAAGAAUCAUGAUUGAGAACAUAGCAGAAUCACCCUUAAUAUUAGAGGUGCAAGAGAGAUACCAAAACAACUAUGUUCUAUAAUGGCUCUACGAUAAAGCCAGUUAGAAGGGUACCAGUCUCUUAAGAAGUCAGUAUGAAACUCCCACAAGAUUGUGUUUGUACCAGAGGUGCAAGUAUUAUAAUAGAACUUCAAGUUAUGGACGUGAAUUACCCCUAGGUGGAAGGGAGGUCAUGACAGUGAUAGAAGAUACGAUGCGAGAUUUUAAGGCAAGUAAGGUAAAGGUGAACAACAUACGAGAUACUCAAAGGCAGAAGACCGUGAAUACUCCAUACUUCAGAUAGAAGGCUAUAAGCACGGGGAUUCAAUAUCCAAGAAUGAUAGCGACAUCGUUAGUGGCAUAUCUUCUAGUCAAUGAUUUCUAGGUAUCGAGAGGUCUAGUUAAGAAAGUAAAGCAAAGUUAGAGACGAUGUGAUGUCUCGCUUGAUGUUCUAAAAUAAUACAAGGAAAUUCAAGCAAGUUGAAGGAAGAUUACGAGUAGUAUAAAUAGAUGUGUAUAAGUCACAAACUAAAGUAUAGUAAAGCGACAAAGUUUAUGACAGGAUGUAAGAACGAGAAAAAGCGAGCGAGAAGGUGAGGAGAAUGGAUUAAUCCUCAGGAUUAGGCCCAUGAAAACAUGGGAGCUAAUGGCUUCUCUAUGUUAUAGUAAGCUAAGUAUAGCCUAAAUGGACUCAAAGGAGUUACUCUUCAUAAGUAGCAUUUGGAAGAGAUGAAAUGCUGCCCUAAUAGUAAAAUAAGGGUGUAAUUGUAAUUGAUAAAGGAUGACGUUUGGGCAUUCGAUUGAGUAAUAAUUUGAAAAAAAAUUAGAAAAGGGAUUCAUGAAUUGUAUGGGAUUAAAAUACUCAUGUAAGAGAAUCACCUUGGAUGCUAUAGAAUACGGUUAUUAAAGUACAGUAUCGCCGCUAAGUGGAUUUGAAAAAUUACUUUGAAUAUUACUUGAUGUAACGUAAGCCCUAGGGGAAAAGUAUUACUUAAGAAGUUUCAAGUUAUCAGUGGUAUAUUGUAGAUCAAUAUUGAGGUGCAUCAACAAUGGAUGGACAAAAGUCACAAAGUAUGAGAUAAGAUUAUUCUAAAGAUGAGCAGUAAUGAGGAAGCAUUAAAGGACUUAAAUUUAUACAUAUGGAAUAAGCAACGAGAGUAAGCUAGGAUUUGGUAGCAUACCUCAGCAACGAUAAAUUAAAGUAAGAGUUAUGGCAAUAAAUUCAUACGAAUGGCUAAACAGACCUAUGGGAUGAGAUAAAUAUUCGUGAAUUUAACAAAGUACCAAGAAAAGAACUUCGGUAUACUCAUAGAUGCCCAAAGGGACAUCUUAUCAAGCUCUAUAUAUGAAUCCUAGAGAUUGGGCACACUUACAAGGUCAAAAUUGUACAGGUUGCGUGAUGAAAGGUAGCAACAACUACGAGAUUGGAAGGAUUCUAACUACAAGUUGUGGUGUGAAAAGGAGGCCUAAGGGGGGAAUACCCUGGACUUUGGACUCAUUCACAGAAUAGUCGCCUAGAUAUCAAGGGAAGUUCGAAAGUAUUCGGAAGAUAUAAGUUAUGAAAAUGAUAAGUGCAUCAAUCAUAAUUCGAGGACGAAUGUUCCAAAGGGGGGAAUAAUGUUACACAUCCCGCAGUAAUAUAUUACGAUGAUGUUAUGCCCUGCAGUAUUACAUUACGGUGAUGUCACGUUUCGCAGUAAUAAGUUACGACGAUGUUGCACCCUGGUAUUGUACGUUGAAUUUGUCGUAAGGUAAUUGGCAUUAGUCCAAGGAAAAUAUUAUUUGGCGAUUAUAAGGAUUAUAAGUGAUGAGUAAAUUCGUGAAGGUAAGAGGGUAAGUAAUAUCGAAGAAAAUAAAUUUUGUCGAAGUUUGGAAUUUUGAGAUAAAAUACGGCCCGAGCUAAAAUACCCAGUAUUUAUGGACUAGUACCAUACAAGGUACCCCAUAGCCAUGAUAGUAAGGUGUAUAAAGUGUGUUAAAAGAGAGUAGUAUUUUAAGUAAUUUGAGAUAAAUUUUAAAUUAUACGGGUAAUUAAUUAAUUACCGGGUAACGGUACAUUACCCAGUUAACUAAUAAGUGGGUAAAGAUUGAUAAUCUUCACCCACCUUUCCACAUGGCAUAAAGCCACAAUGGCAAAAGAUGAUUCUUGGUCACCUUGCCAGAUGGCUACUAUGUAGUAACCAAAUGAUGAUUUAAGUUAAAGUCUUGAUAAGAAUUGAAAAUCUUAUCCAUGAACUUAGUAGGAAUUCCUUGUAAAAGGCCAAACCAAUCUGCCUUUGGCUUAAAAAGCUAAGAACGUUAAGCAAAAGCAUUUCAUUUCAAACGAAAGCUUCAUUAGAAGCAAUUUCGUCCAAAUUUCAGCAACUCAAAGUAAGAUUUCGUUUCUCAGUUUCAAGCGCAGAAGCUUAAUCCGAUUUUUAGGUUCUAAGUUCAAUCCACGAAGGUUUCCAACGGAAUAUUAUACAGAGUUUUUUCUACUCCAGGUAUGUUAANNNNNNNNNNNNNNNNNNNNNNNAAGGCUAUCCCUUCUUUCUUUUGGCAUGAUCCAUACGAUACGAACGAAACGUGCAAAUGCACAAAUUCCAUGAAUGACUCUAUUCAUAGAAGUAUUAGAGAUAUCUAUAUUCUUGAAUUUCCAUGUGUCAUAAUAUUUUAUCAUCUGUUCAUGGGUCUCAAAAAAAUACGAAAGUUGAAAAGAGUUUACUUUAUGAUAUUACUCAAAGGCAAAAUGGUCAUAUGACAUUCCGAAAGAAUUUAUUAACGCACUUUUCAUGUAUUGCAUUCAUAUACAUUGACUCGUGACAAGAUGGCGUUAUAUACACGUAUAUAUGUAUGUAUAUAUAUGUAUAUGGGAUAUGGGAAAGGUUAUGGCGUUAUAUAUGCACCACCACCUGAUUAGCUGGUAUACGUUAAUAAUUUUGCCCACAGCGGCCAAGAUGAUAUGAUGGGAUGCCCUCAGAGGCUGAUGAUGUUAUGAAACAUGUACCUAUGCAUGACAUGACAUUCAUACACAUAUGCAUGAUACUAUAAUUAUUUCAUGAUUUACAAAGUUAUUCAGACUUACAGGUUGAGCCAUGUACUCUAUAUUUCUUCCAUGUCUCUUAUGUAUUUAUUUAUGUGCCUUAAAUACUCGGUACAUUAUUCGUACUGAUGUCCCUUUUGCCUAGGGACGCUGCGUUUCAUGCUCACAAGUCCCGAAGAUGUUGGUGCGCUCCAUUUGCUUCGGAGUUGCUCAUUUGGUUUGUAUGAUUUAGACGUGUAUUGUUCAGUAUGGCAGGACUCUUCCCGACCUUUAUGACAUUUAUGUACUCUUAGAGGCUUGUAGACAUAUGUAGUGUACGUGAAAGAUUGUACGGCCUUGUCGGCCUUGGCCUAUUAGGCCCAUAUGUCACGUAUAUAUGAUGAUGUAAUAAGAAA